UUCUGGUUCGAUUGCCCUGAGUGUUGUGCUGCCUUUCGCGCCAUGUGCCCAGUUCUUUGGUUGCCACCGCAUCCAUCCGUUUGUUUUGGUAGUUGAGAGAGAGGCCGGGGUAGAGAUUUGUUCUGUUUCUGGUCUCUUCCACCGAUUCACUCUGUUUUUUUGUUUUGUUUUGGAUUUUUGUCUGAGCUUGUCAUUCAGCCUGUGUACAAUGUCCAUAUAAGUUUUUCAUGUUUUUAAUCAAACAUCACUCCACAGAGACGGUGCAGUUUUGCACUACGGUUAGGUUCAGAAUUCCCGUGAGGAAUGGGAAUUGAAGUUUGAGAAAGGGAAAGAGGUGGUGUUGAUUUGAUGAGUUUGAAUUUCUGCUGAGCAUUUGCUAGAUGUAUGUAUGAAGAAUGUGGGAUUAGGUGAUUUAAAGCCACGCAAAAGCUACCAUUUCCCUCAAGGAAGCUGAAGGAUUCUAGCCAUGUAAUUGCAUACCUAAUCCUCUGCACAGGGGUUUAGUUCUCACUAAUAGUUGUGAGAAAGCUUUUCUGAAGCAGCCCCAAGUAUUCUUGAGUUCAAAGUAUACAGGUAAGAGACCUGGAAAGGGAGGCAACCGAUUCUGGAAGAGUAUUGAGCUGUGCUAAAGACCCCAGGGAUGCUAUUGAAGAAGACCGCAGUUCGGUUGAAGAACUGUAGCAAGUCUAACGUAGCUUUCAAGUUUCGAACUACUGUAUUGAAAAGCUGUUACAUGCAUCCUCCGGGUGGUAUCCUUGCUCCAAGAGAGAUUCUAAUUGUGACUGUUGCUAGCUGCCAGUUAAAUAUUCAUACAAGACCAGAAGGACAUGCUACAAAUCUUUCCAACAAGUGUGGUGAAACUAUGGAACGAGACAUAUGGAGUCACUACUGCUACAUACUGCCUACUCGAUGGAGAACACUGAACUUUGGUUAACACAUUUACUAGACUUCGUAGUCCAGGUUGGACUGGCUUUCUAUGUCUUUAUAUGGAUAGCUAGCACUUACCAUCUACUGUUAGUUAUACCAGUGUUUGUUGCUGGAGUUAUCAAGUAUGGAGAGAGGACUUGGGUCCUGCAGUCUACGAGCAGCAAGAAGCUUGCUGACUCCCUGCUUCUACCUUCUUAUCCUAGGAAUAAUUGUGCUAAUUUUGAGGAGAAAUAUAGCACUAUAAAAGCUUGAGGCCAGGAGGUAGAGUUUUGGAGUACACUUACUGAAGAUGGUGAUGGGAGUCCGAACCAAAAUGAUCGGAAAAGGCUACGUCCUCCAAGUCGUUCCAAAACAUUCAAUAUUGAAACCAGCUAUGCUGCAAAAAUUCCGAGGUAUUCAGCUUUACCUCCUCAUCUCAUUACGAUGAAACUAAAUGUGAGACAAUGUUACCAGGGCCACCAGUGAUACUAAUGCAUCUCAGUAUGAAUAUCAGAUCACAAAUUACUGAUACAUAUUUCAAGAACUGAAGCUUUGCAGUCACUUGGUAAUUUGUUUUGUUUUUCCUACUUUUGCCAUGGUAACUAAUUCAGAUGUAAACACCAGGACAGAUUUAAUGGGUUGAUCUUUGCACCAUUUUCUUUUCCUUCUAUUGUGUUUUUUGGUUGCCGACAAGGUUGAAAUCAGAUACUACGUCAAAAGAAAUUUUAUCAAUUUUCAAGACACUACUAAUAUCCUAACCUGGUUCUUUGGACAGUUCUGAGAGGAAUGCAUCUGCAGACUGGCUUUUUUCACCUUGAGGCAAAUUAAAGCUGCCACUAAUAACUUUGAUCCUGUAAACAACAUUGGGGAAGGCAGUUUUGGUUGUGUCGACAAGGUCUAUGCGAAUUCGUGGACUGUAAUUUACAUACCUUUGGACAAUGUGGGAAUGUGGAAUGUGAGAUAUGAGAAUUGGGCCUGACAAUACUUAGGCCAGCAGUUCUAUCUUCGUGUAUACUUCUGUAUAAUCACAUUUUACCUAUUUAAUUCUAAAAUUCUAAGCACACCAAGCAGCUUUUGACAGAAGAUGAAACUUCAGCGUUCUCGAGUCUCCAAUCGCUCUAAGCAUCGUUGAUUCUGAAUCAGAAAAUGCGACAGUGCCUUGGUUAUAUCUAGGCUGACCAGUUUAUUGUUGCAAUCAGAGAAACUUUUGGGAAUUUGAUGAUGUGCUUUAACCUGGUUGUCAUUGUUUGUCUUGGUGUUUGGGUAGCGCAGUAGCUGGUCAUCUCUUUCUACGAGUGCAGGAAUUGGAUGUUCGCUGAAACAAAGACCGAGGUUCAUGUGCUUCAGUCCAUUUGGGAUCUUUACUUGGUUUUCCAGAGCAUUUUUCUCAGUUGUAUUUGCACGUUGUUUUGUGCUAUUUCAUUUUCAGUUUCAUGUUCAUUGUAAUUUUUCUUUCAUAAGAGGUAAGGCUAAUAUGUCCCCCUCUUCCAACCGUAGUUUGUUUCUUUAGACCAAAAAAAACUAUAGUUUGUUUCUUUUGUAUACAAAAAAAAUGGAGUACUUACUUUUCUUA